AAUAGAUACCCCGGUAGUCCACGCCGUAAACGAUGGAUGCUAGCUGUUAUGCGUAUCGACCCGUGUAGUAGCGAAGCUAACGCGUUAAGCAUCCCGCCUGGGGAGUACGAACGCAAGUUUAAAACUCAAAGGAAUUGACGGGGACCCGCACAAGCGGUGGAGCGUGUUCUUUAAUUCGAGGCUAAGCGAAGAACCUUACCAGGGCUUGACAUCCUUGGAAUUUCUCCGAAAGGAGAGAGUACUUUAUUGGACCAAGUGACAGGUGCUGCAUGGCCGUCGUCAGCUCGUGUCGUGAGAUGUUUGGUUAAGUCCAUUAACGAGCGCAACCCUUAUGAAUAGUUGUAUUUUUCUAUUCAGACUGCCCCGGUAACGGGGAGGAAGGGGGGGAUGAUGUCAGGUCAGUAUUGCCCUUACGCCCUGGGCUAGAAACGCGCUACAAUGGCCGGUACAAUGCGCUGCCAACCCGCGAGGGGAGCAAAUCGCAUCAAAGCCGGUCCCAGUUCGGAUAAGAGGCUGAAACUCGCCUCUUUGAAGCCGGAAUCGCUAGUAAUCGU
rnacentral:rRNA from 1 species